rnacentral:lncRNA from 1 species
AGUCUCAAAAUGAACGGUUGAAAAUAAAAAUCUCAUAAAAAAUAGUGAUAAAGGAAUCAAAUUUCAAAUCAGAAGUAUUGUUCUUGCUCUUGAUGUUAAGUAGAAUUUUCUAUUAAAGUUUCAUAUAAUUUGGAUACUUCUACACCGUUGAACUUAAAAACAUGCCACAUCGGCCGUUAAAGUAGUCAUUUUUGAGACCCUUUGAUCGUUUGGUAAAUGAAGUCGAAAAAUUAUAAAAUUUGCUUUCCAGAUAUUUCCAAUAGCAUAGAUUAUGUCUAACGGAACCGAUCGUCGAAUCGGAUGUCCUAUCAUCAUCGAAAACAAUUUAUAAGCACAGAGACCUCCAU